ACCGCGACAUGCUGAUCCGCGAUUACUAGCGAUUCCGACUUCAUGCUCUCGAGUUGCAGAGAACAAUCCGGACUACGAUCGGCUUUCUGGGAUUGGCUCCACCUCGCGGCUUGGCAACCCUCUGUACCGACCAAUUGUAUGACGUGUGAAGCCCUACCCAUAAGGGCCAUGAUGACUUGACGUCAUCCCCACCUUCCUCCGGUUUGUCACCGGCGGUCUCAUUAGAGUGCCCAACUGAGUGUAGCAACUAAUGACAAGGGUUGCGCUCGUUGCGGGACUUAACCCAACAUCUCACGACACGAGCCGACGACAGCCAUGCAGCACCUGUGUUCCGAUUCCCUUUCGGGCACAGCCUAAUCUCUUAAGCCUCUCGGACAUGUCAAGGGUAG
rnacentral:rRNA from 1 species